AGCUCAGCUAGCGUCACUGCCAAUGCGAGGUCCAACACCGCAGCCCCCUCCGGCAGAACCCCCGCCCACUGCAGCUCUUCCUGACUGCUCGGAUCUCGGUUACCCCAUGAAGCAAUUUCCUGCCUCUUUCAGGCUCAUUUCUCAACUCCCAGUGCCCCUAGGAAAAAAGGUGGGACCCAGUGUGAUAUCACAGAGGACCAGUGAGGACCUAAUGGGAAUCCAGCCUCCGGACUGGAAUUGGUCAGAAUUACCUGAGCUCACUGGGUUUGGAAAGACUCCUGACCAACACGUGUUGGCCACGGCCGCUGGACGAGGAAAUCUCAGAAGAGAAUACUGAACGUGAGCCUCUCUUGUGAAUUCCUCAUUUCAGUGGUGGUAUAAGUGAUCCAAGUGAGAAAUAUGCUACCUGAGUUUAUUAGGAACUUAAUCAUGCAGUCAGAGACCAAGAACCUUGGACGAACUUCUCUGCGACUCCAGCAUUCAGCAGAUGAAUUAAAACCGCAGCAGACUGAGGAAGCACUGUUAGAAUCACCCACCCACCAGCUAAGCAAAGUGCUCCUUCUUAAAGUUAUUCAAAACAAAAACAAACACGAAAGACUAAAAAAGAAGUUUAUCCUGAUUGGAAAGAUUACGCUCUGAUCAUGAACGUAAACUCUAAAGUCUGCCUAAAGUCAAUACUGGCAACGAGAUUCUUAGCUUUUAGAGAUGUUCCUCUCACAUUGUUUAUCAAAGAGCUUUUCCAGAGCUCAGCUCCAGAAAGGCAAUCCCAACCCACGAGAACUGGAAAGAACAGCACAAAGCAAACAAACCCUGACCAGACGGACGGAAGGUGAACAGCACAGUGACGGGAGAGCAAGCAGCAUGUUUGUUCACAGAGGAGACCAGCAAAGAUGAGAAAGAAAGCAAAUGUUUUAUUCCAUAGGAGGCUCCAUAUGUCCGUCUAACCCAGCUGUAUUUCUGAGGUUAAAUGACGCAAAGAUAAAAAGCUGACUUGGGGAAGGAAAGGUAAAUAGCAAUCCAGAUGCUCCCAUUCAUACUCUGAAGUUACUGCCAUCAGCCCUGUGACCAACACAUUUCACAGCUUGUGA